AGUGAACGCUGGCGGCAGGCCUAAUACAUGCAAGUCGAACGGCAGCACGGCAGAGCUUGCUCUGUGGGUGGCGAGUGGCGGACGGGUGAGGAAUACAUGGGAAUCUGCCCAGUCGUGGGGGAUAACGUAGGGAAACUUACGCUAAUACCGCAUGCGCCCUUCGGGGGAAAGGCCGGGGACCGUUCGGGCCGUGGCGCGAUUGGAUGAGCCCAUGUCGGAUUAGCUAGUUGGCGGGGUAAUGGCCCACCAAGGCGACGAUCCGUAGCUGGUCUGAGAGGAUGAUCAGCCACACUGGAACUGAGACACGGUCCAGACUCCUACGGGAGGCAGCAGUAGGGAAUAUUGGACAAUGGGCGCAAGCCUGAUCCAGCCAUGCCGCGUGAGUGAAGAAGGCCCUCGGGUUGUAAAGCUCUUUUGUCCGGAAAGAAAAGCGCCGGGUUAAUACCCUGGUGUCCUGACGGUACCGGAAGAAUAAGCACCGGCUAACUUCGUGCCAGCAGCC
rnacentral:rRNA from 1 species